rnacentral:rRNA from 1 species
UGGGGAAUUUUGGACAAUGGGCGAAAGCCUGAUCCAGCAAUGCCGCGUGUGUGAAGAAGGCCUUCGGGUUGUAAAGCACUUUUGUCCGGAAAGAAAAUCCUUGGGCUCUAAUACAGUCGGGGGAUGACGGUACCGGAAGAAUAAGCACCGGCUAACUACGUGCCAGCAGCCGCGGUAAUAGCGUAGGGUGCAAGCGUUAAUCGGAAUUACUGGGCGUAAAGCGUGCGCAGGCGGUUUGCUAAGACCGAUGUGAAAUCCCCGGGCUCAACCUGGGAACUGCAUUGGUGACUGGCAGGCUAGAGUAUGGCAGAGGGGGGUAGAAUUCCACGUGUAGCAGUGAAAUGCGUAGAGAUGUGGAGGAAUACCGAUGGCGAAGGCAGCCCCCUGGGCCAAUACUGACGCUCAUGCACGAAAGCGUGGGGAGCAAACAGGAUUAGAUACCCUGGUAGUCCACGCCCUAAACGAUGUCAACUAGUUGUUGGGGAUUCAUUUCCUUAGUAACGUAGCUAACGCGUGAAGUUGACCGCCUGGGGAGUACGGUCGCAA